CCUGCAAAGAGCUGACAGUCUGGGAGAGCAGCAGUGAAAUAGAUGAACGGGCGCGGGCUCUGCCAACCUGGGAAGCAAAGGAAGGCUUCCGGGAGGGCAGGAGUUUUCGGGCAACCGUGCGCGCUGCAGAUCAGGCAGCGUCUUGCGCCACCCAAACAGGAGGAGGGCCCGGAGAGUCCAGAAGAGGAACCCCUCCAGGGAAUUUGCAUUUACUGCAGCCUGGGGUGGAGUGACUCGUCUUACGUAGCAUGCGGAUGCUGCAGAGGAGCAGGGGGACCUCAGGGCGCCCCCUUCUGGACGAGCCUCGCAUCCUCUUCUCCCUGGCACUGGAGGAGGGAGGGCCCUUAAUGUUCUUAUGUUCUUCUCUUUUUUCUUUUGCUUUUUUCCUAUGAUUUUUAAAAAUUAUGGUAAACUAUACAUAACCCCAAAUUUAGCCAUUUGUAAGAGUACAGUUAAGUAGCAUUAACCCACUCACAUUCUUGUUAAACUACCACCACUAGCCAUCUCCAGAACUUUUUCAUUUUCCCAAAUUGAAACUCUGUCCCCAUGAAACAACUUCCCAAUCCUCCUCCUCCUAGUCUGUGGCAACCUCCAUUCUACUUUCUGUAUGUGGAAUCAUAUAUUUAUUCUUUUGCGUCUGGCAAUUUUGACACAGCAUGUCUGCAAGGCUCAUCAUCCAUGCUGUAGCCGGUGUUAGACGUUCCUUCCCUUUAAAGGCUCCACUGUAUCCUAUGAAUGUGCCACAUUUUGUGUACCGAUGCAUCUCUCAAUGUAUAUUAGGGUUGUUUCAACCUUUUGGCUGUUGUGAAUAAUGCUGCUGUGAACAUAGGUGUACAAAUACCCAUUCGAGUCCCUGCUUUCAAUUAUUUUGAGUAUAUUUGUUGUUUAGUCCCUAAGCUGUGUCUGACUCUUUUGUGACCCCAUGGAUUGUAGACCAGCAGGCUCCUCUGUCCAUGAGAUUUCCCAGGCAAGAACACUGGAAUAGGUUGCUAUUUUCUGCUCCAGGGGAUCUUCCCAAUCCAGGGAUUGAACCCUCCUCUCCUGCAUUGCAGGUGGAUUCUUAAUUCUGCAUUUAACUUUUUGAGGAACUGCCAGCUGUGUACCAUAGCAGCAAUGCAGUUUACAUUCUCACCAACAGUGCACAAGGGUUCCGGUUUCUUCACAUUCUUACUGACAAGUGUUUUCUGCUUUUUUGGUACAAUAGCCAUCCUAGUGGGUGCAUUUUUAAAAAUUGUGGUAAUUUAUUAAUACACAUAACAAAGUUUACCAUUUUAACUUUUUUGUGUGCAGUGCACAGCAUCUGGGAUCUUAACCCAAUUCUUCAGCAGCAGAAGCUCAGACUCUUAAUCACUGGACCACCAAGGAAGUCCCCAUUUUGACUAUUUUUAAAAUGUACAAUCUGAUGGCAGUAAGUACACUCACAAUGUUGUGCAGUCAUCACCACUGUCUAAUUCUAGAAUUUUCUUAUUACCUCACAUGGAAACCCCUUACCCAUUAGCAGUCAACUCCUUCCCCACAGCCCCUGGAAUUCAUGAAUCCACCUUCUAUGGAACAGCCUUUUCUGGAGUUUUCAUAUAAAUGGAAUUCUAUGAUAUGCAGUGUUUUGUGUUCCCACAACAGUCCCCUCAGGUUCAAGUGGAAUGACUGACAGAACUCAAGAGAGGACUUUACUUACUGUUACUGAUGUUGAAAACAUGGCCUCUAUGCUGAACCGAAUCUUCAGUUCAGUUGCUCAGUCUUGUCCAGCUCUUUGCGACCCCAUGGACUGCAGCAUGCCAGGCUUCCCUGUCCAUCACCAACUCCUAGAGCUUGCUCAAACUCAUGUCGAUCGAGUCGGUGAUGCCAUGCAACCAUCUCAUCCUCUGAAUCUCCAAGAACUGAAUCUUGGAGACUGAGUUUUGGGCCAAGUAGGAAAGAACAGCUUUAUUGCUUUGCCAAGCAAAAGGGGAUACAGCUGGCCCCUUCUCUCAAACACUGUGUGUCCUAGCAGGAGGAUUUGGUGAGGGGUUUAUAGCACCAAUUCUAAGGUGGGGUUGCUGAUAAGAUUAGGGUAUAUGAACUCUGCACACACUCUAAUCUUGUCAGCAAUCCCUCUCCAUUAAUCUGGCCUCAGGUGGGCUCCUAAUAAUCUGGAAAGAUGCUUCUUUCGUUCCUUUAAUGGUUCCUUUAAGAUGAAAUAAAGAGUAGGAAUACCUUUCACUUAUUGAGGGAUUUUUAGUUCUGUGAAAAGUUCAAAGGUAUUAUUACCUAUAUCCCUUGGAGCAGAACCAAGACCCUGCCUCAAGGCUGCUCCUUAUUUGUCUCCAUAUCCCCUCCCUUCUCUGAUUAGCAGCCAUUCCAUUCUAUCCUUUGGGACUCAGGGAAGGUCAUGGAGGCUGGAAUCUAUUCCCUACAAGUAACAAUGGGGGACAGAGAAAGGCUUUGCUCCUGCUUGGUUUCAUUACUGGUUUAUAACAAAGGACAUAAAUAAGGGACAGCCAAAGGGAAGACAUGCAUAGGGGAAGGGUAGGGAGACAUGGAGUUUCCAUGUCCUCUUCGAGUCCAUCCUCCUCCUGGAAUAUCCAUGUUUUCACCAAUUUGGAAACUAUCCUGAACCUCAGACUUUUUAAAAAUAGAUCUCAAUCUCCAGUUCUUCUCCCAGAGGCUGGCUCCUAAACUCUGAUAAAGUAUUUGGUGGUUCUGAUGACCAGCUCUCAUCCUGGGGUACCUGGGGUGGGCGGGGGAAUGGCACUAGUGGUAAAGAACCUGCCUGCCAGUGCAGGAGAUGUAGGAGACACAGGUUCAAUCCCUGAGUCAGGAAAAGCCCCUGGAGAAGGGCAUGGCAACCCACUGCAGUAUUCUUGCUUGGUGAAUCCCAUGGACAGAGGAGCCUGGUGGGCUACAGUCCAUAGGGUUGCAAAGAGUCGGACAUGACUAAAGUGACUUAGCACAGCAAACAAUGCCCUUAGCUAUCCUGUUAGCACAAACUCAAGUGUGAUCCAUAGUUGUGCCUUAUGAAUGAAAAAGACAUGCCUGCUGAAACUGAUUGGGACCACAGAUUGGGACUUGAACCCAUGUGCUGGGACUCAAACCCAGUGAAAACUCACUCUGGGACUUGAACCCACAUGACCAGGACUUGUGCUGUGUUUAGUCGUUCAGUCGUGUCUGACUCUACAACCUCACAGAUGUAGCCUGCCAGGCUCCUCUGUCCAUGGGGAUUUUCGAGGCAAGAAUUCUACUGCUGAACCUCCAGUGCAAACAAAACUUAAACCCAGCCAAAACCCUGCUUGGACUUGAACCCACCUGGCUGGGACUCAAACCCAGCCAAAACCCAUGGUACCUGGUUUCAGGACCUAAUGAAGCUCAGGUUCUUGAUGUCUCAUCACAGAAAAAAUUCAGUGAGAGACAAAAUGGUAGGUAAGAAGUGGGUUUAUUCAGAUUCAGAGAGAAGCACACUCCACAGGCAGAGUGUGGGUCAUGCCAGAGGGCAAGUAGGGCUGAGAAAUGUGACAUGGUUAGUUUUAAUGGGCUGGGUACAAUUGAUAUGACCAUUACAUCUACUAAUGGGGGCAAGAACCCCUUAGAAGAAAUGGAGUAGCCCUCAUAGUAAACAAAAGAGUCCAAAAUGCAGUACUUGGGUCCAAUCUCAAAUUUGAAAGAAUGAUCUCUUCAUUUUCAAGGCAAACCACUCAAUAUCACAAUAAUCCAAGUCUAUGCCCCAACCAGUAAUGCCAAAGAAGCUGAAGUUGAACGGUUUGAUGAAGACCUACAAGACCUUCUAGAACUAACACCCAAAAGAGCUGUCCUUCUCAUCAUACUGGAAUGCAAAAGUAGGAAGUUAAGAGAUACCUGGAAAACAGGCAACUUUGGCCUUGGAGGACAAACUGAAGCAGGGCAAAGGCUAACAGAUUUUUGUCAAAAGAACGCAUUGGUCAUAACAAACACCCUCUUCCAGCAACAUAAGAGAAGACUCUACACAUGGAUAUCACCAGAUACUCAUUACCAAAAUCAGAUUGAUUAUAUACUUUGCAGCCUAACAUGGAGAAGCUCCAGUCAGCAGAAACAAGACCAGGAGCUGACUGUGGCUCAGAUCAUGAACUCCUUAUUGCCAAAUUCAGACUUAAAUUGAAGAAAGUAGGGAAAACUUCUAGACCAUUCAGGUAUGACCUAAAUCAAAUCCCUUACAAUUAUACAGUGGAAGUGACAAACAGAUUCAAGGGAUUAUAUCUGAUAGAGUGCCUGAAGAACUAUGGACAGAGGUUCAUGACACUGUACAGGAGACAGUGAUCAAGACCAUCCUCAAGAAAAAGAAAUGCAAAAAGGAAAAAUGGCUGUCUAAGGAGGCCUUACAAAUGGCUGAGAAAAGGAGAGAAGCUAAAAGCAAAGGGGAAAAGGAAAGAUAUAUCCAUCUGAAUGCAGAGUUCCAAAGAAUAGUGAGGAGAGAUAAGAAAGCCUGCCUCAGUAAUCAAUGCAAAGAAAUAGAGGAAAACAGUAGAAUGGGAAAGACUAGAGAUCUCUUAGAAAAUUGGAGACCCCAAGGGAACAUUUCAUGCAAAGAUGGGCACAAUAGAAAAAAGAGAAAUGGUAUGGACCUGAAAGAAGCAGAAGAUAUUAAGAAGACCUGGCAAGAAUACAUCAAAAAGCUAUACAAAAAAGAUCUUCUUGACCCAGAUAACCACAAUGGUGUGAUCACUCACCUAGAGCCAGACAUCCUGGAGUCCAAAGUCAAGUGGGCCUUAGGAAGCAUCACUAUGAACAAAGCUUGUGGAGGUGAUGGAAUUCCAGUUGAGCUAUUUCAAAUCCUAAAAGAUAAUGCUGGUAAAGUGCUACACUCAAUAUACUAGCAAAUUUGGAAAACUCAGCAGUGGCCAAAGCAUUGGAAAAGGUCAGUUUUCAUUCCAAUCCCAAAGAAAGGCAAUGCCAAAGAAUGUUCAAACUACCACACAAUUGUACUCACCUCACAUGCUAGCAAAGUAAUGCUCAAAAUUCUCCAAGCCAGUCUUCAACAGUACAUGAACCAUGAACUUCCAGAUGUUCUAGCUGGAUUUAGAAAAGGCAGAGGAACCAGAGAUCAAAUUGAAAACGUUUACCACAGAUUGGGACUUGAACCAUGUGGUUGGGACUCAAACUCAGUCAAAACCUUGCUUAGGACUUAAACCCACAUGGCGGGGACUUGAACCCAGCCAAAACCCACAGUAUCUGGUUUCAGGGCCUAAUGAAGCUCAGGUUCUUGAUGUCUCAUUGCAGAAAGAAUUCAGUGAGAUGCAAAGUGUAAGAAGUGGAUUUACUCAGAUUCAGAGAGAAGCACACUCCACAGACAGAGUAUGGGCCAUCCCAGAGGGUGAGUAGGGCUGAGAAAUGUGACAUCAGUCAGUCAUUGAGUACAGUUGCUCAGUUUUGUCCAACUCUUUGCAACCUCAUGGAAUGCAGCAUGCCAGGCCUCCCUGUGCAUCACCAACUCCUGGAGUCUACUCAAACUUAUGUCCAUUGAGUCGGUGAUACCAUCCAACCAUCUCAUCCUCUGUUGUCCCCUUCUCCUCCCACCAUCAAUGUUUCCCAGCAUCAGGGUCUUUUCAAAUGAGUCAGUUCUUCGCAUCAGGCGGCCAGAGUAUUGGAGUUUCAGCUUCAGCAUCAGUCCUUCCAAUGAAUAUUCAGGAGAAAUGUGACACGGUUAGUUUUAAUGGGCUUGGUACAAUUCAUACAACCAUUGUAUCUGCUAAUGUGGGCAAGAAUCCCUUAGAAGAAAUGCAGUAGCCCUCAUAGUCAACAAGAGUCUGAAAUGCAGUGCUUGGGUGCAAUCUCAAAAACUCAUAGGGCGAGUGCGGCUCCAAAGUUUGACUUGGUUAGUUUUUAUAGGCUAGGUAAUUUUAUAGCUUAUUGAGUUGGAGGAUUAUUCCAACUAUUUUUGGAAAGGGGUGGAGAUUUCCAGGAUUUGGGCCAUGGCUCACUCCUUGGUCUUUUAACAUUGCCUUGGAACCGUCAUGGCAUCUCUGGGUGUGUCAUUUACUUGCUCUUUGAGGAUCAAGGUCUAGUCUUGUCUGCCAUCUUGGUCCCAUUUGAUUCUAAUUGGUUUAUGUUGUUUCCUUGGGCUAUGUCAUUCUUUCAGAAGUUUUGCCCUGCCCCUUUCCCUCCUGUUACAAAAUUGCCAACAUCCAUUGGAUCAUGGAAAAAGCAAGAGAGUUACAGAAAAACACCUACUUCUGCCUAAGCCUUUGACUGUGUGGAUCAUAACAAAUUGUGGAAAAUUCUGAAAAAGAUGGGAAUACCAGACCACCUGACCUGCCUCCUGAGAAAUUUGUAUACAGGCCAUGAAGCAACAGUUAGAACCCGACAUGAAACAACAGAGUGGUUCCAGAUUGGGAAAGGAGUAUGUCAAGGCUGUAUAUUGUCACCCUGAUUAUUUAAUUCUAUGCAGAGUACAUCAUCCAAAAUGCCAGGCUAGACAAAGCACAAGCUGGAAUCAAGAUUGCUGGGAGAAACAUCAAUAAUCUCAGAUACACAGAUGACACCACCCUUAUGGCAGAAAGUGAAGAGGAACUAACGAGCCUCUUGAUAAAAGUGAAAGAGGA
ensembl:lncRNA